AAUUAUAUAAAAGUUUUGUUAAUUUCAGAAUACAAAAUAUUUUACGAAAAUUAGAGGAAAGAUCUCCAGUUUUGUCCGAUGCUGAGAAAAAUAUGCAGAAGGAACUUAAAGCCAUGUCAGAAAAAAUUACUUAUUUUAAGAAAUCUUUAGAUUUGGUUAAGGUUAAAAUGAAUUAUCAAAAGCAGCAGAAGUCACGACAGACAAGAACUUCCAGACCAAUGAUUAGUGGCUCACAAACAAAGCAAUUGAAAAGCGUUCUUAAAGAUCAAGGUGACCAGAUAACACAGCUUGUCAAAGAAGUUGGAGAGCUAAAAACCAAACUUGAUAUUUAAAAAAACAAUUUAGAAAUAUUUCUUUGCUGAAAUGGCAGCAAAUGUAAACUUAAUUUCCAAGGAAAUGAUUGAAAGCCAAAAGAAUAUAUAAGUUUGCCAUAGAUGUUGCCACUGGCUUUUAACUGACACGUGCAAGACAAAGAGAGUUAUAUGCCAAAAGUUUAAUGUACAAACUCACUGUUGCAUCAGUGCUCAUUUGCACAACUGUUUAUAAACUAACCUAGCCUUUACAGUAUGUACAAUUUGUUUCCUCUGAUAUGGGUUUUUGAAAAGUAUGGUCCAUAUUCUCUAUAGAAAAAAUGUGAAUGCUACAACAUAUGGUUUGGGGAAACAAGUCUGAAGAGUUAUGGUUCCCACGACUGCCCCACUCCAAGGGAGUUUUGUGCUCAUAUGAUGAUGUAAGUUCUUCAUCAAGUAAGAUAUGAAAUCAAAUGCAUAAAGCAAUAUCCCAAAAAAUCAUUGUUGAUACCUUUAUGAUACCUUUAAAAGUAACUUAAUGGUUGAGGUUAUUACUAUCAGUUGAAUAUGGAGCCUAGUGAAGUUGAUACAUUGUUUUUCAGCAAGUGUAUAUGUCAAAAAUGUAAACAUUGAUGAGAAAUUUGCAAUGUAUUUUUAUAAUAAAAGUUUUAAAUUACA